UUUUUGGGCACGAUUUCAGAUCCAAUUUCAUGCUCGAUCUUAGGCCCGAUUUCUGUUAUUCUCUGAGAGGCUGCCACCUCAGUGAUUGGUGUUCAAUUUAGAUUGGAAGAUAAAGUAGGUGGCAGCCCUUUUGUUCAUUUAAAAGGACCAUCAAACUUCUUUCGAGAGUGGGGGAGAGAACGAAGGACAUACCGAUUGCAACGAAAACUCCCUAAAAAUUCCCUAAUCCCACUUCACCCUAAGUCCAUUACACUCUAUAUUCAUUACACCCCACUCCCACCACAAAAUAAAGCAUAAAAGUACAAACAUAAGCACUUUGAGUAUUCCUUCGAGAAUCCAUCGUUAAAGCUUCUGAAGUCUCAAACGCUUGGAGAAAUCGGCCGGAGGUUGCGUCCACAAUGCAAAAGAGAAACAAAAAUCAGUUUUCAACGGUCGGUACCCCCAAACAAACCCUUUUCGUAAUUCUCAGUAAUUCACCUAUCUUUCAUAUCUUAAACCCUAAACAUAUUGAUAUACCUGUCAGGGUUGCAUGCUAUAUUAUAUAUCAACAUAUAAGCUACUUACUCAAAUUACUUUCGUAAGCUACCUAACACUAACACUAGCUGGAAAAAAUGAAACUUCUUUAUUUAAUAAAGGAGUGCUGGAAAACGUUGACAAGAGGCUACCACGACCAUUUAAUACCAUUUUCAUACCAUUUGCAUCGAUUACUCAAGAACUACAAGAUUACUCCUAAAAAUCGACCUAAACAAGUGCUUUUUUGUUAAACAUGAUUGCUGGAAUUUUCCUAAAUUUGAUCAAUUGAUCAAAAUUUUCAAACAGAAAACCAUUUGCAUAAACACUUAGAUUGUCGGUAUAGCUUCAACAACGAAACAGUCAAAUUUUCAAGCAACCUAUAGACAAUAACAAAAUCACUACCAUCAUCAACCAAUAAAAAUAAGAAAAACAAAGAGCUGAGGUUGUUCUUCCGUUUUUUCGUCCGACUCUGCUCCGGCCGGGAAAUCCAUUGUCGGCGGGGACUUUUUUUUUGUCUCCUGCUUAUGCUUCUCCGGUCCAGCUCCACCGAUCCCUAACUCUACUGAAAACAGAAAUCAAAAUAAAGACAACAAAAAUAACAAAAAAACUACAAAAAUAAAAAAACUCAAAUUUUAGAUCUACGAAUCAGGGCUUGCAAACGACAUGCAAGCCUGGAUCGAAGUAAAAACAGAAAGUACGUAAGUAGAACGAGGGAUUUCAUGUUUUGUUUACCUUUUCUUCCUUCUAUUUUCCUUCCUUUGUCGUUGUGGGAGAAGAGAGGUGGCGGAGGCGGCUGCGACCGCUGCUGUCGGCGAGGAAGUAAAAGAGAAGGACAUGAUGGAGGCGGCGGGGGCCGCCGCCGCUGAGAGAGAAUGAGAAGAGAAAGAAGGAACAGGAGGCGAAAGAGAGGCAGGAAGAAGAAGAGAAGAAAAAGGAAAGAAGAGAAGAGAAGGGAGGGGCGGCGGCACUGCCGUUGUCACCGGAGGAAAAAAGAAUAGAAGGAAAGGAGGGCGGUGCCGCCAGAGGCGGAGAAGAAGAAGAAAAAGAGAGAAAAGAAGGAAAGAGGAAAAAAGGAGGAGGCGCGGUGGAGGUGGGGGCGGCGGAGCCGCCGACGGUGGAAGAGUGUAGAGUGAAGGGAGAGGAUUGAGAGGAAGAGAGAGGGAGCUAGGCUUUCA
rnacentral:lncRNA from 1 species